AUAUCUGUUGGCCAUAUGUAUGUCUUUUUCUGAAAAAUAUUUAAGCCUUUUUCUCAUUUUUAAUAGUUACUUGUUUUUUGUUGUAUAGUCAUUUGAGUUUGUUACAUAGUUUUGAUAUUAAUCCCUUGUCACAUUUAUGAUUUGCAAAUAUUUCCUUCCAUUUUUUGGUUGUCUCAUCCUGUUGAUUCUGCCCAACCAAUGUUACAGGGCUUUCAGUCUUUAUUUUUUGUAGUAGUUUCAGAGUUUUAGACCUUACAUUUAAGUAUCAAAUUUGUUUUGUGUUUUUAUUUUAUUUAAAUAUCUAAUUUAUUUAUAUAUGGUGUGAGUUGAGGGUCUUAUUAUAUUCCUCUGCACAUGGAUAUAAAGUUUUCUCAACACCAUUUAUUGAAGAUA
rnacentral:lncRNA from 1 species